AGGUUAAUUCUCUUCUCCUCCUGUUCUUCCUCAGAGCUGUGGGGUCAGCACACACAUGCAGCUGCUCAAACACCCUUGCAGCACUGACCACGGCCCAGCUCUUAGCCUUUCCUUCCUGACCUCACCAGCACCCGUCAGCUCAGCAGAGGCAAGGUGACCUGAACAGACCAGGAGAAUGGCAACUGAGACUUCAUCUGUGCACAGGACUCAAAUAAAGCAGCAGCAGGAGUUAAGGCUGUGGACCACAGUGCUGUAUCUUCUACCUGGUUAUGUCUCUGAGCCUGAGCAGCCAGGCUCCACAGAGCUUACACUGAUCUGCAGUACUGCUGAGGGACUGGGAGACAACAAAUUGAUUUGCAACUGAGUGCAAGCCACUUAUGUUGACUCUAGAUGGUGGUCAUGUGUUUUGUUUGAAAAAUGUAAGAACCUAAGAAUGACCCAGAUGAUGAGCAUCUCUAUUUUUUGCUUUGUCAUUGUUUCUCAUUCUGUUUUGUUUUGGUUUAGUUUCGGUAAAUGUUGUCAUGAGAAUAUGGCAGUAGCAUGGUCUUACUCAUUUCCAUUUUGUGGAUGAUAUUCAUCUACACUCUUUGCUUCCAGCAGAAAGAAUAUAUUAAUUAUUCAGAAUGGCAAGAAUUGAGCGUUCAAAUGCCUCUGGUGAAUGUAUGAAUUAUAGAUUGAUCUGGCUAUAUGCAUGUUUUGCUCUUAUGAGAUGGGCUUUUAAGACUGUCUCUUAGUGGACUGUUAGUCAAUAUGAACCUGAUGCAUGCCAGUAAUAAACUAAUAGUGCAGGU
rnacentral:lncRNA from 7 species